ensembl:lncRNA
CGCAUGAUAACAAUAGCAUUGCGCGAAUAAAGUUAAGUAGUACCGACUUCAAACACUGAUUUAAAAAAAAAAACUACAGGAUUGCAAAUGGAGAACUUUUGACAUUUACCUCAGGAACAAUAUAUCUUUGUAACUGAGUAAAAAGAUUGUAGAGCCCCAUAUGUCGGAACGGGAUGAAACGAUACGGCGUUCACCUUUCGGCCUCUUAAUGUGUGUGAUGUGGCUGAAGCAGAAGUGGAACAGGCCCUCUCCUCCAGCCCACUGUUAGUUUAUUCUAUACUUGUUUUUUUUCUGUAUCAGUUCUAUAUUCUACUGAAAAACUUGGAUUAGCACCUUUGUUCAAAUUUGAUGUGUGAAUAUUGAAUUGUACCCGAAAGGGAAACUGGGUAAGAUCGGCUUUAACAAGUAAACGAAGAAUAAAAGAAAAAAAAAAACAAAAAAACUGCACACACAUCAAACAGGAAACAGUUCACAGGCGGAGCCACAUUUCACAGAACACAGAUCAUUUCCCAGAAAUGAAAGUGAAAGUAGUUGUCAGUGUGAGCAGAGCUGCAGACGAGUGUGUGGAAGCUCCAACAAACCUUAAACCCACUGCAACACAUCUGCUUCAAGUGUCAUCUAAGGUUCUUGGGUGGAAACAGUCCACAGUGGAGCUCAGUGGAAGCGGUCCAGUCCCACCUGUGUGCUUCUGAAGCCUGGGUCCCUUCAGUCCCAAGGACAUUCAACUACAACUGUGGACUUUGUGCAGGAAGAUGAAAGUGUUGGUGGUGGUUGGGCUCCUCAUCCACGUUUCCCAGCAUGCACUGGCUGUAGUGGUGCAGGCGUAUGAGGGGAUGGAGUCGGUCCUGCUGCCCUACCAGCAUUCUGGCGGGUUCCCGAACAUUCCCUUUUCAGUGGUUUGGAAACGCUCUGAUCUGAACCAAACAGUUAUUCACCGGCUUGAAUACAUGAGUGGUGGCUGUCUGAAAGAGGAAUACCGACACAGUGAGCGCACGUAUAUGAAGCCCAACGCACAGAAAUCUGGAGACUUCAGCCUCACUGUGAAGAAACCACAACUGUCUGACAGCAGCAGCUACACCUGUAACCUCCAAUGGGAAACAGAGAGGGGCGAGCCAAAAGAAGAGAAACGGACAGAAGUACAGCUGCAGGUCAAAGAUGACCAGGAGGAGGUGGAGGUCCAGCAGGGGGCGAAGUCUAUCCAGCUGCCUUGUAAAGCUUCAGCCGAUCUGCCUGAAGACACCACAGUGGACUGGACUCACUUUGAUCCACAACUGAUGUUGGUCCACGUGUCCCGGAGUAAAACUGAUGAUCUUCAAACACAGGACAGGUCUUACCGUGGCCGCACACAGAUGAAUGAAGACAUGAGUCUGACUGUGAAAAAGCCCACAGACACAGACGGAGGUGUGUAUAUCUGCACCGUCUACAGGGAAGGAGACGUCCUGAGGUCUAAAGUCCUGCUCCAGGUGGUCCCAGGUCGUUCAGCCUGGGCCACAGCUUUCUGGGUUGUCGUUCCUGUUCUUCUAAUCGCUCUAAUCACUCUAGGACUUUUCUUUAUUUUCCGAGGGUAUUUUCCUUCAGUCCAACUGGUGGAGGUGGAUUCAGAGGAGGAGUCUGUCCUGCUGCCAUGUCAAACUAUAGCUCACCUGACAAAGAACUCCAGAAAUAUGAGCGUUAUGUGGAAGAACUUACACAACCAACAGAUCCUUGUGCAUAAGUACGGCUCUGGAGAACCUGAUGAACAGGACCAGGAUUACACAGACAGAACAGAGAUGAAGAAACACUGGCUGAGAACUGGAGACUUCAGUUUAACCCUGAAACACCCAACGGACCGGGACACCAACGAAUACUUAUGCACCAUCUACAACAAAGACAAGGUCCUGAAGGAGAAACGAGUGGUGCUGAAGGUCAGAGUCCAACAGGUGGAGGUGGAUUCAGGGGACGAGUCUGUCCUGCUGCCCUGGAAAACCACAUUAUAUAUAGAGGAUGUCAGUCAGCUCACAGUGGAGUGGACGGACUAUUGGGACAGGAAGGUCCAUGUGUAUGAGGACGGCUCUGACAGAACUAAUGAACAGAACUAUAGAUACAGAAACAGAACAGAGAUGAAAGAAGACCCACUGAGAACUGGAGACCUCAGUCUGACCCUGAAACACCCCACAGACUGGGACACUGACACCUACACCUGCACCGUCUACAACAGAGACAAGCAGAUCCUGAGGAGGAAACGAGUGUUUCUGAAGGUCAAAGUCCAACAGGUGGAGGUGGAUUCAGAGGAGGAGUCUGUCCUGCUGCCCUGGAAAACCACAUUACAUAUAGAGGACGUCAGUCAGCUCACAGUGGAGUGGACGGACCGUUAUAACAGGAAGGUCCAUGUGUAUGAGGACGGCUCUGACAGAACUAAUGAACAGAACGAAAUAUACAGAAACAGAACAGAGAUGAAAGAAGACCCACUGAGAACUGGAGACCUCAGUCUGACCCUGAAACACCCCACAGACUGGGACACUAACACCUACACCUGCACCGUCUACAACAGAGACAAGCAGAUCCUGAGGAGGAAACAAGUGGAUCUGAAGGUCAAAGUUCAACAGGUGGAGGUGGAGGAGGGGGCGUGGUCAGCCCUGCUGCCCUUCAGAACGACCCCUGACCUGCCUCAGGACGCCAGAGUGGAGUGGAGGUACCAUACUAAUGACCGGAAAUACAUACAUGUCCAUGUGUCUGAGAAGAAGUCAGCUCAACCUGGUGAACAGGACGACAGAUACAGAAACAGAACAAAGAUGAAUGAAGACCCAUGGACGACUGGAGACUGCAGUCUGACCCUGAAUGACCUCCAACAGGACGACUCUGGAACAUAUGUAUGUGUAGUCAUCAGAGAUGAAGUCACCCUGAGAGGGAAAAGAGUGGAGCUGAAGGUCAAAGGUCAGAGUUCAGAUGCAGGUCAGAGGUCAGGUGUGUCUCUGUCCUCUGUCUCCUCUGCAGACAGAUCUCAGAUCAUAUAUCAGGUUCUUCCAAUAAGAGAAGAUGCAGAAGCUGAAGCAGCUGUUUGAUUGAUCUGUUGUGUGUGUGUUUGUGUUUGUCCAGUCCAACUCCUAAACUGAGGCUUGAUCUUAUUCCUCUUGAAUAUAUGAAACAGGUCAAUACAAUAGAAAUACACACACUUCAAAGCACUCAGACUGUGCUUUUCCACUCUUCAUUAUUGUAUUUCUAGUGUUUGUUUCUCUGUGAUGACAGUCUGUCCUCCAAACCAAAGAAAAUCCAAACUAUCAAAUCCAAACUUUCAGCUGCUACCAAAAGUAUUUUAGUUUAGUUUGUAUCGUGGACAAUACCAGAUAAUGAACUGUAUCAAUAAGAGUGAAAAGUUGCAGCUUUAGCCGACAUGUCUAUAAUCCUGCUGUAGUCCUCAGCCUGACGACAAUAGGAACCCUAAAAAAACAAUAGAUUACAGCAGAGUAAUUAAAAAGAAAGACUUCAGACAGCUAAGAGACCAGAUCCAUCAGUACAGAUAAACAGACUGUGGUGGACACAGCCACACAUGGGAACAUCUGUACAAACUAGAGCCCGGACCAUUAAUGGGGCCGAUUAUAGUGUAUCAGCAAUUAAUCAACAUCGGCCAAUAUGUAGCCGAUAUAUGAACUGUUUUUGCUGCACAGAGAUUCUGUGGCUUGCUGCUCCUGUGUGUGUGUGUGUGUGUGUGUGUGUGUGUGUGUGUGUGUGUGCUGCCCAGAGAAUCAGAGGAACUUUAAAGCGGGUUAGUUUCACUUUCACUCCUGCUCGGACAAUGACGCUAUCACCCCCCCACACACCAUCACAUAAUCACGGAGCAACCCCCCACCCCCCCACCCCCCGCGCACGCUCUGACAAGGAUGGACUGCUCCUCCCACCACCACCACAGCACUCCGACCCCCCCACCCCGGCGAAAAUCAUGGACCGCUACCGCACACUCUAACGAGGAUAGACCACUGAACCCCCCCCGUCUUAUGAAGUAUUCACCCCCCCACACACACCCCCAUGUCCGUGCACUUCCUGUCUCCCUCACAGUUUCAUUCUGCAGACAGGCCUGGCUUUUAACAGUGUAGGGGAGACUGGGGACAGUUGGCACACAGGUCGGUUGUAACUCUUGCAGUUCGUCCAAUCAGGAACAACUCAGGACUCGCCUAAUUCACUCUGCACAUGCUCAGUUUAGUCCUUAGUCCACAUGGGCAGUUGUAGUGUCGUGAGGCAGACACAUCAAUAUUUGUGAGUGAAAACAGAAUUGUGUGCUCAGUCAUAUUUUUUACUCUAAUUAUUUUUGUGAUCGCAUAGUUUGCAUUUGAACGUUGUGUCAAUUAUAUUUGUCAGAUAAACACAGAUUUAUGCAACUGUUUAUCCACCUGUCCACAAUUAUCUAAUAUCAGAUUAUUAUAUCCUGUGGAGAUCAGUGUUCUUAUUUCAUAUAUCGGCUAAUAUAUCGGUUAUCGGCCAAUAUUGGAUGUUGGCCGAAAUAUUGGAUAUCUGCUUUUUUUAAGCCCCCAAUAUCGGUAUCGGCCCCAAAAAUCCCAUAUUAGGCCGCAAGGUGAACGCCGUAUCGUUUCAUCCCGUUCCAACAUAUGGGGCACUACAAUCUUUUUACUCAGUUACAAAGAUAUAUUGUUCCUGAGCUAAAUGUCAAACGUUCUCCAUUUGCAAUCCUACAGUUUUUUUUAAAUCAGUGUUUGAAGUCGGUACUACUUAACUUUAUUCGCGCAAUGCUAUUGUUAUCAUGCGUGCUGCGGUUUGAGUCACGUGUAACCUGCUGGUCCAAUCAGAAAGCGCAAAACAUCCAAGAUGGCUGCGACCAGGAAGCGAGCUUCCUGUAGUUCAGAGGAGGAAAAUACAACGAAAAGUUUUAAAAAGCCAGCAAAAAUAUAGAAUAUACACCUCAUAUCCGUAAAAAAAGAAAAAAUACAGGAUUUUUCGGCCAAACGAUGGGAAACGUUAAGAAACUGUGUCGAACGAUGGCUUUAUUUGAGUGGUGAGAGCAGGAGUAUAACUGAAACUGAUAAACACUAUCACUACUGACUCUGACAAUGUUCCAGAAGAUGCUGGGUUUCAUGCAACAUGCUACAGACGAUUCAUUGAUAAAAAAAACAAAAAACGAUUGGAUUCCGCGGAGAAACAUAAAAGAGAGAAUUCAGAUGUCAGUGAAUCACAGGGAGGUGAGUCUGUGCAGCAGCACCGCAGGAUCAACAAGGGAAACUCUGAGGAAGAAAUAACGGUCCAGGAUGGAUCUACCUACUGUUUCAUCUGGUCCUGUUCUGUCCAGGAUGGGUCUACCUACUGUUUCAUCUGGUCCUGUUCUGUCCAGGAUGGGUCUACCUACUGUUUCAUCUGGUCCUGUUCUGUCUGCCUUAUGCAUAAUAUGUAAAAAAAAAAAAAAAAAAAAAAAAAAAAAAGUGGAUAAAUACAUCAUGGCAAAUGCACAAAGGAUCAUCUUUCACUGGCACAGACGUCAUCAGCAGCUGUGUAAAAAAAAAUAUAUAUAUCUGUCUCUCACACUCACACACAAAUACUGUAUAUAAGGAAGUGUGCAAGUUUAUUCUAUUCUCUACUACUGCUAUUACUACUAUUAUUACUGCUACUACUAUUACAUCUAUUACUACUAUUACUGAUCAUAACUCAUUCUCUCUCACACACAGUGCUGCUUGCAGCUUUGUGAAACUAGGUGUGUGUGUGUUUCAGAAAUGAGCCGCCUUCAGUGUCAGCUACCAGAUCUUCUGUUCUGUGAGCAGAUCAUCAGGCAAAGAAUUAUUAUUACUGUGAACCUCCACCAAACAUUCAUACACCAGAGUGAGUGGCACUGGGUGAAGUGUCUUGCCCUAGAACACAAUGGACUGACUAGGACAGAGCGGGAUUCGAACCGACGACCCUUCGGUUAUUGGACGACCUGCUCUACCAUCUGAGCCAUGGCCACCCAGUCUUACUGACAGUGUGUCAUUAUUGCUCCUUGGUAGUUUGCCCUGUCCGUGCCUCCAACAUGUGAUGCUCUACACCAACACUGCAAAAGGACAAACUACCAAACAGCAAUAAUGACACACUGUCUGAAAGGUAUUCUGUGUGCACCCUCACCCACUGGUAGUGGAUGGCACACUGAGGAUGGGGAGUCAACAGUGACCUGGAGGACUAAAAAUCCUGCUCCUCAAAGUGUUUUGCAGUUCGUCCACUGCACUUGGAAACAAGGCAAAUAAAAUGUGAUACAGACAGGUGUUCUGUAUGUCAGCAAGACUGUCUUUCACUGAUGUGUGUAGGUGGCAGCACUGUGUGAAUGUUCAGAAGGAAACAGGAGAUAGAGCUGCAUGGGAUGGUGUUUCUGACAGUGAUGGGGAUGAUUAGACAUGUUAUAGAACCAGGAAAUAUCCUCUAAAAAAAGCAUCCAUUGAACAAAAAUAAAAGUUUACAGUGUACUGUGUAUAUUAAAAACAUGUAUUGUUACAUGACAAACGAAUCAUUGUUAAAAGAAGAAAAGAAACCCUGCAACUGUAAACACUGUAAAUGUCAAACAAUGCUGUUACACUGAUGUAUGUGUUUGUGUGUGGCUAAAUUCACCAUGUGUAAUAUGUGAAAUCACUAGAAGCUUUUUCCCACAAAUUUCCAAGAUUUCAUGGUCUACAUUCACAUUGCAUGGUAAUAAUUCAUCAAGACUUGUCUAAAAUGUUAAUAUGUAUAAAUAUCAAUUUGUGAGAGAUUUUGUGUAGCUAAAAUGAAUGUUGAUAAAUAAAACAAGUGAAUCUAGCAUCAUAGAAUUUUCGUUUUUUAAUUUUAUAUUCAUAUAGAUUUUUGGCUUAUGACAAAAAAGUGCAGGAUAUAUUGAUAUAAGAACUUUUAACCCAAAGUCCAUGAGGGUACAGUCUAAACAAACCACUUUUCAUGGUUCACCUUGUGGCCUAUAUCGGUCAAACACACUAUCACCUUAUUAGUUUUCCUGUCUCAUUCUUUCUUUAACUUUGGUGGGCAGCUCAUGGUCUUCAUUUGCAGUCAGUCCUUUAACGUACACCAUGUAGUUUAUUUUGUAUUUCUUUAUUUGAAUGGUCCACUGUUGUAUAGAUGCACAUAUAUGAACAGUGUAGGGGGACCAUUACAUUAUUGAUGUUCUGUUCUGUUAAUCCUUGGUUCCUUUGUUUGAGUUUCCGUGUGGUGGAGUUUCCUGUCACCAUCCUGAUGUGGAAAAAAGGCGUGGCCAAGGGUGGAGCAACAUUAUAUACUGCAGCCACCUCAUCAGCAGAAACUAUGGGCUGUGUUGUCAUGGGGGGGGGGGGGGGGGGGGGGGGUGUAAUGUGCCCAAAGCUUCAGUUGUAUUUAGUUGUAGUUGGUGUCCAUUUUGUUUUGCCCUUGUUUGUUUCAUGCUUUGUCCAAACCUCUAUCCAUGCUCCCACUGAGUCUCAUUUUGGUGGGUCAGUUUUUGUCAGUUGGUUUGAUGCAUCAGUUCUUCUUCUCAGCCUUAGUUGUUAUUAUUUUGUGUACAGUUCUGUUAUGUGGACCUCUUUUGUAUACUUAAUUGUUAAAACUAUCAUUUGUAAUCUUUUUUUUAAAUAAUUUUGGGUGAAUCCAAACCCACAGCUGUCUCCUGGUUGUCUUACUGCUGGGUUUUUAACACAGAUAAAAGAGAACAGUAAAGCAUCAGUCCAGUCCUACAGACAGCACAUCCAAUCCAAACAUACAAAAGCAGCACAUCCAGUAGAAUCCCACAGAAUCCAUCAGCACAGGAUCACAGACACAGAUGGAAACAGACAUCACAUAUGGACACACAGCAUCCAUGACCAUGACACACACACACACACACACACACACACACACACACACACACACACACACACAUAUGUUAGUGUGUACAGGUGUAGAUGUGUACAAACUGUGUUUUUCAUGUGGCUGUAACAGUGCAGUAUGUAUGUGUAUGUGGAAUGUGGGGGGACGUCAGUUCCAGUUUAGUGUUGCUUGAACAGAAUGAGAACUGACCAAAUGUGCUUUUCCUGAAUGGGGCUGAGAAGUCACCCCGUGUGGAGCUUCUGCUGAUCGG